AAGCAAAAUAGACCACAUAAUUCUGAUCUUCUUCAUCUCUAGGUAUAUGGUUUAUGAUAUUACAAAACAUAAUUAACAGCAAAAAUUUAGACAAAUAUUUCUUUAACUCCAACACAAAAGUACACAUAGCAUUAGGUUAUUCCUAAGAUUUCUGGGCUUCUGGUCCUAAAAUCCCAUUCACUACUGACGUAGCGACAAGAACUCCGACGAACUCAGCCGCCACGACGGCUCCAGCUUGUGUCAAUCCAUUAAAGCUAACCGCCGUCACGAUUUCCUUCUCUGCCGUCUCUACACCUCUCUCCGCCGCUUCUAAUCCUUUCUCCGCCGCAUCAACGCCUUUCUCCGCCGUCUCAAAGCCUUCUUUCACGAUCUCCACCGCUUCUUCUUCUGCUUUCUUCAGUUUCUUUCUUAUAC
rnacentral:sRNA from 1 species